AUACGUAGGUGACAAGCGUUAUCCGGAUUUACUGGGCGUAAAGGGCGUGUAGGCGGUCUUGCAAGUCAGAAGUGAAAUUCCUGAGCUCAACUCGGGCGCUGCUUCUGAAACUGCAGGACUUGAGUGCUGGAGGGGAUAGCGGAAUUCCUAGUGUAGCGGUAAAAUGCGUAGAUAUUAGGAGGAACACCGGUGGCGAAGGCGGCUUUCUGGACAGUAACUGACGCUGAGGCGCGAAAGCGUGGGGAGCAAACAGGAUUAGAUACCCUGGUAGUCCACGCCAUAAACGAUGAAUACUAGGUGUAGGGGGUAUCGACCCCCUCUGUGCCGACGUUAACACAUUAAGUAUUCCACCUGGGGAGUACGGCCGCAAGGCUGAAACUCAAAUGAAUUGACGGGG
rnacentral:rRNA from 1 species